GUGGGAGUGGAGCUGAAGCUUCGCUAGGUUUUAUUUUUCCGCUGCAGUUUUCUUCAUGGGAGAUGGAAAGCUGAACGUAUGGGCGAUAGUCAGAUAGGGAUCGGAAAGAUUCGACCAGGAUUUAGUUUGAUUGUGAAAAAAUCGGGUCCAUCUGCUCAAAAUCUGACGGUUAAUACAUAUAUAGUGAUGAUGUGGGGUGAGCUGUGGAA